rnacentral:tRNA from 1 species
GGAGGUGGCCCAGGGUGGCCCAGGCACCUGCCUGGAAUGCAUGAGGCCCUGGGUUCAAUUCCUAGCACCCCCU